rnacentral:rRNA from 1 species
UACGAAGGGGGCUAGCGUUGCUCGGAAUCACUGGGCGUAAAGGGUGCGUAGGCGGGUCUUUAAGUCAGGGGGGAAAUCCUGGAGCUCAACUCCAGAACUGCCUUUGAUACUGAAGAUCUUGAGUUCGGGAGAGGUGAGUGGAACUGCGAGUGUAGAGGUGAAAUUCGUAGAUAUUCGCAAGAACACCAGUGGCGAAGGCGGCUCACUGGCCCGAUACUGACGCUGAGGCACGAAAGCGUGGGGAGCAAACCGG